UAUACCUACGGGACGCAGCAGUAGGGAAUUUUCGUCAAUGGGCGCAAGCCUGAACGAGCAAUGCCGCGUGAACGAGGAAGGUCUUCGGAUCGUAAAGUUCCGUUGAAGGGGAAAAAGAGCGGAGAGAGGAAAUGAACUCCGAUUGAUAUUACCCUUCGAGGAAGUCACGGCUAACUACGUGCCAGCAGCCGCGGUAAUACGUAGGUGGUGAGCGUUAUCCGGAAUGAUUGGGCGUAAAGGGUGCGUAGGCGGCCUGCUAAGUCUGGAGUGAAAGGUACCGGCUCAACCGGUACAGGCUCUGGAAA
rnacentral:rRNA from 1 species